rnacentral:rRNA from 1 species
CCUACGGGUGGCAGCAGUGAGGAAUAUUGGACAAUGGACGAGAGUCUGAACCAGCCAAGUAGCGUGAAGGAUGACUGCCCUCUGGGUUGUAAACUUCUUUUAUAUGGGAAUAAAAUGUUCCACGUGUGGGAUUUUGUAUGUACCAUAUGAAUAAGGAACGGCUAACUCCGUGCCAGCAACCGCGGUAAUACGGAGGGUCCGAGCGUUAUCCGGAUUUAUUGGGUUUAAAGGGAGCGUAGGUGGAUUGUUAAGUCAGUUGUGAAAGUUUGGGGCUCAACCGUAAAAUUGCAGUUGAAACUGGCAGUCUGGAGUACAGUAGAGGUGGGCGGAAUUCGUGGUGUAGCGGUGAAAUGCGUAGAUAUCACGAAGAACACCGAUUGCGAAGGCAGCUCACUGGACUGCAACUGACACUGAGGCUCGAAAGUGUGGGUAUCAAACAGGAUUAGAUACCCGAGUAGUC